UGUGCACAAGUGGUUGUGUGAGGGCUGCUCCCAUUCCCAGGACAAACUCCCCUGGGCUUUGCAGAAAAGAACAUCACAGGCAGUUUGUGUCAUGGGCAUGUGGGAGCUCUUUGGGGGCUCUCAGUUUGAAAGCAAUCUUGGAAGUAUCACUCCCGACUUCCACAGCAGGAAGCCAGGUUUUGUUUUAGGACACAGAGAAAGACUGUUCAAAUAAUAGGAAAUUUUAAGAAAAGCCAUCAUAUUUCAACCUUGAGCCAGGUCAGAGGCCUGCAGAGGGUUAGGAAGGAAGCUCAUCAUUUUCACCUGGGCCUAUUCAGGCCUUUAAAACAAACAAAAAAUAAAUAAAAACAGAAAUCAAAACGUAGCAGUGGAGGAAAUAGCGUUUGCCAUUAAGAAGCUAAUCAUAAAUCCAAGGAAAACCAGGGGUGAUUGUUUAAUCCCAGAGAGAAAGGAGGCAGCUAUGGUGGCAAAGCAGCAUCAUUUCCAUGCAAUAUUUAUUUAAAAAAAAUAAUAAUACCUGUGAUGAAAUUGUCAAAUGUUCUAUUUUUAAGAUGCCAUUUAUUUAAUAGUUGAAAACCCCACUUACAUGGAGAUAGAGAUCUCUUCUGUAACUGAAAGUCAAAGUCUGACUGCAAUGUCCUUGUUUUUGGUUUUGUCCUCGCCCCUCCCUCUUGGUUUCCAUGAUAAAUCUGUACAUCUUAUUUUGGGGAUGUAUGUCCCUCUUGUAUAUAACCUUUUUCUGCCCUGCGUGUGAUGGAAUUUCUGAGAUGGUUGAUUCAUAUGGGGGAAAUAAACAAUAAAUGAAUGUUUGUUAUGAGGUGUUUCAAGAGUCCUUGUGUUCUCAGCUUCUCACAGAGAAAUUCUAGCAUAGCUUUUCUCUAAAUGGCCUUAGUGUUUCCCUUCUGAAUGAGGUUUAGGUAUGAAUUUCUGUACAAGAAGUCUCUUUGCUGCCCUGAUUGUCGCCCCUUGCCCUUACUGUAAUGGCCAUAAGUGGUGCAAAUGUAGAUGCUCAGAGUGGCAGGAGUGUCACAACUUGGGGCAUGUUCAUCCUACCCUCCCAAUCCCAUGCAGGGAAGGCUGUGCUGGGCCAGCUGCUGAAGCCAGCAGAGCUUGGCUCUGAGCACUCCCUGACAGGAACAGCCACAGGUUGGUUUCAGGCAGCCCAACAAGGUUAAUUGGAAAACCAGGAGACGAGGCAUAGAAGUGGUGACUAAAGGGUCCUGCUCUGUGUUUGCCACAAAGCUGUUGCAGGGCUUGGUUUGUGGGUUGGUUUCUGAAGGGCUGUGAGGAGGAUUUCCCUCAGGGAAUCCCACAGGAUUUCCUGCCCUGUGGUAGCAGAGUCUCACUGGUUGUGCAAGGGAAUCUCUGCCACAGCCUUGUACUUCUCAUUGGAGGCUUUUCCCACUUUUUGUUUUCCAAGUUGUUCCUUGGAAGAAUGGUUUUGGCAUCUCUUGGGAUAUAAUUUCUGUGUUUCAGGUCUGUUCUGCAGCAGGUGUUGCCCCCAGGAUGUUUGCAAAUAAUGGAUGUGGUUUUCUCAUGCACUGUGUAAAUUGUACAGGAUGCUGACACCUGGUUGAAUACUCACAGGAAAUGCUGUUACAGGUGCUGUGCAUAGAAAUGCACUCAUGAAUUGUGAUCAGUGCAGGGCUGGGGCAAAGCGGGGAGGGUUAAUUUUGGGGGUGUGAUGGAAUGGAAAUGGGGUUGAACAUGCCAGCAGGGAGGGCAUCCAAAAGCCAGGCAGGAUGUGGGGCUGUAGCAAGUGUUGGCUGCCCUGCUUGGCAUUCUGCCUAGGGCAGUGGCCCCCCUGGGCUAACACAGCCAAAAAUAUUUUUCCAACAAUAAUUUGUUGUAGUUUCUUUAAUUAUUGAGUCUUUAUUGCCCAAACCUAAUUUUGCAACCCUCUUUAAUUUAUUUUGAGAUUUGUUAUUGAUUAUAGAUGAGCUUGCAUUCUGUCUUUGGCUUGGCUUGUUCCUUUUCAAAGAUAAAUGUCAUUUUUGGCAAAACAGCUGAGUUAAAGUCGAUUGCACUUUCUCAGCCUUGUGCUGCUCUCCAAACACUAAAAUAGCCCCUUGGCAGCUUGUGCUUUCCUUACAUUAAUUGCAGUUUCAGCAACCCCUGUCACAAAAAAACAACAUUGUUCCUGGGCUAUCAUCAAGCUUUUUGAAUGUGUUUCCAUAACUUUUGUGUUCCUGAAACUUGUGUGUGUUACAAGAGCAGUGUGCACUCACUGCUCCUUUGUGAUGUGUUUUGUCAAGGUGUGGGGUUCCCAGAUUUCCUGCUGGGUUUUCCUCUUCUCCUGCUCAGUAUUGCUGAGAUUAAGGGUUUUUUUGGGGACUAGCCCUUCAUGUUGCAGCGUUAAGGCCAUGUUUUACACUGCCAGAGGCAUUUGCAAAACUUGUAGAUUGUUUAGUGAAAUUUUGAUUCUACUCCUAGCCAGUUGCAUAUGAAGAAGUACUUGUAAAUGGAAAAAAUAGUUCAGAUUUUUUUCGCCCCCAGUUUCCAAGUAAUAAAAUACAGCUGUUUUUCACUUGCUCCAUGUGGAGUUUUUCCCCAGAUGCCUGCUGUACCUUUUCACUUGGAAACUAUAGCUGUGGUAAUUUCAAGUCUUUGUUGAAAUUUUCAUUUGAAAGAAUCAGAAAAUCCUGUCAGUUUAACAACUGUAAAGGAGUAAUUACUUAGACAAUGUAGUGCCUUGGGAAUAGUUGGAAUCUUUUGGACCAGGGAGGUUGUGGGCAAAAUGACAUGAAAUAACUGUGCAGGCAGAUCAGAACUUGGGGGGGCAUUAGGGGUGUAAAUCUUGCAGCCAAUGCACAAAAUCUUCUCUAAGAUUUUUCUCCCACACAGCUGGGAGAAAUGAGCCUCUGAUUAUAUCCAGUGCUAAGUAGAAUAGUAAACUUAGUGCAGGUAGUAGGUUAGACUAAACAGUCUGGCUGAGGUAAAAGGGGAAGAGAAAUCUGCAGAUCACGGGCACAGCAUUUAUUUCAGCACACUAAACUUGCCUUGUGACAGCCAGUGGGUUUUCUGUGAUGAUUAUUAAACAAGAGGCAAACAGUUUGUUGUAUUUCUGUAGCCAGUGGGGGAGAAGAAUCGCUCCAGACAGAGGCAUUACUUCCCCCUGCUGUUAUUUUGUGUAAGGGCAAGAUUUGCCCUGGAAAACAGAAAAUCCUACACUGCAAUUUGGUAGCUGACACAGCACAGCUCAGACAUGGUCCUGCUGCAUCCCAGUCCCUCACCAGUGAUUUCUUGGCACUGUGUGAGUGGGACAGAACAUGCACCACAACUGUGCGAUGACUGGAAAAUGGCAAACUUCUUUGCAAGAAUGUUGGUAAAGAAAUAAAUGUAGAGUUUUUUAAAAAUACCUUUUUUUUAAGUGCUCCAAGGGCAAAUUAAUUCUCCUAAUAAAUCCAGCAGUAAGCAUGGGAAAAUGGGAUACAAGAGCUUAUAUCCUUUAAAAUGUAUGUUUAAAGCUGAGGAAGUAGAAAAUGCUAUGACCAAACUUUAAAAAAAGUGAAAUGAAAUUAAACUUCUGAUUUUAUUUCCAAUGACUGUAGAAGUUCAGGCUUGGGAAACUGGGUUAGUGGAAGGAGACUGGGCAAGUAGCUCUUGUGUCUUGGAUGAGGGCAGGCAGCAAAACAUGCUGUUGCUGUUGUGCUUGAAAACUAUCCUAAAUAGGAAUUUGGUAAGGCAUUCCCUCUUUUCACAGAAAAUUUCAGGACAUAGACUUGCAGUGUAGCAAGCAAAUGUGAAAGAAGAUUGCUGCAGCUCUGUUGCUCUGACUACAUGUCAGCUGCACAAUCUGCUCUCAUCAUAAAAAUCAUCUGGUAAUUAUUUUUCAUCACUGAGGUGAACAAAUCAUCUCCUUGAUUUGUUCAUCAAAUUAGGAGUUUUUGGAAUUGAUGAUUUGUGUCUUAUCAAAGAUGUGUUGAUUUUAUUUUUUUUUUAAUUAAUUGUGUCUCUGAGAUGAUUUAAUACCACAUUUAUUCUUAUGCACCAUCUGAUGGGCAGAAGCCUUUUCUUACAUGAAUUCUUUCAGGAAUCAGCUGUACUUUGGAGGAAACGUAAAGAAUCUGUGAUUCAGAGAUGAUGUUGGGCUGCUGUGGUGUUUUGCUGGCUACAGCACUCCAAUGUCAAUUUGUUUUUCCCACCCCAUUAACUAAUAAUUUACAUGUGAAAUUCUUGUUGCAGAGGCCCUGCUCCAGGAGUUCUCCUGUCUGGACUGGUAAAGAGCCUCCCUGAGUUUCCAUCACUGCUCAAAAUGCGCAAGUCACAGAAUUUAAUUUCUUGCCACCUUUUUUUUAUUGAAUGUCUGCAGCCUUUAGACAAAGCAGCUGCACAGUCUGGCCCUGGUACCUGAGGGUUCCCUGAAUGGCUCCUUCUCAACUGCAGGGCAGGGAAUGGGGGUUUGGUGAUAUUCCUUGUCAGAAAGCCUGUCUGUGCAAGAUAAUUCUGCCUGUCUGAAAGGGAGGGAAAGGGCAGGCACUGAUGUCUCCUCUCCCUUCCAUCCUUGUAGAUAACAGCAACAGCUUCAAAUCCCAAUUCUUCCUACUGCCUCUGCAAGCUGAGAGUAAGAAGUCAUCUCUCCAGGGAAAUUGCAGGCACAUCAGCACAAAGCAGCAGGAUAUACAGGCAGCUAAGCUCAGAAUGUCCACUGGGCAUUUGGAAAAGGGCAUUUGGAUCUCACAUGGAAGAACGCAAGAGACAGUGGCAGACUAGGAAUGAGAAUCCUGCUGCUAAGGGAAAUUGAUAUUGGCACUGACACCUUCAAAAAAUGCUACCAAGGGUGAAAAUUAUCCAUCAACAUUACAGCUUUGGGAAGGUGUAAGUAGUACUGGCUGCCAGGUUGAUAUGUAAAUGUGUGUAUUCCUGUAUCACAGCCACUCACAGCAAUGCAAAAUGUUUGAAGGAAAAAUUGUUAUUGCUACUGAGAAUAUCCUUCUCAACCUCUUUUCACGAGUAAUAAAAAUACUGCAAAAGCUACACUGGCCCAUUUCCUGGAAAUGACAAUUUCUGUUUGUUGGUAGAGAUAGGCAAGAGCGCUUCUGACAAAUAUCUAAGCACAACAUGUUCAGCAGAGACUUUCACCUGCCUCUGACUUGCAGGGUGAGAAGUAC